rnacentral:rRNA from 1 species
GAUGAACGCUAGCGGCAGGCCUAAUACAUGCAAGUCGAACGGGAUCUGAGGGUAGCUUGCUACCCGAUUUGAGAGUGGCGCACGGGUGCGUAACGCGUGAGCAACCUACCCAUAUCAGGGGGAUAGCCCGGAGAAAUUCGGAUUAACACCGCAUAAGAAUGUAUUAACACAUGUUAAAGCAUUUAAAUAUUUAUAGGAUAUGGAUGGGCUCGCGUGACAUUAGCUAGUUGGUGAGGUAACGGCUCACCAAGGCGACGAUGUCUAGGGGCUCUGAGAGGAGAAUCCCCCACACUGGUACUGGGACACGGACCAGACUCCUACGGGAGGCAGCAGUAAGGAAUAUUGGUCAAUGGGCGGAAGCCUGAACCAGCCAUGCCGCGCGCAGGACGACUGCCCUAUGGGUUGUAAACUGCUUUUGUCGAGGAAUAAACCUAUCUACGUGUAGAUAGUUGAACGUACUCGAAGAAUAAGGAUCGGCUAACUCCGUGCCAGCCGCCGCCGUAA